ensembl:processed_transcript uncharacterized LOC110325913
GCCUUGCACUGCCGGCGGACCGGGAGCCUGGCUGAGAUCAGCGGCAUCCGCCGAAUGAAGUCAACGCGGCUGCGGGGCCACAGUGCCCUAGGGCAGUGGCUGUGCACACACAAGCUGGCAGGGAGCGGACAGCAGCAAGCUCCGCCAGCCCCAGAGCCUGGCGCACCCGCCGCUCCACCUGAUCUCCGCAGGGGCGCCGGGCAGCCCGGAGGAGGAGGCUAGGCGUCCAGUCCUCGGCGCUCUCGGGUGGCCGCUCCCUCCCCCGAGGCCUUACUCGCGCCGCCCAGAGCACUGCGGCCGAUCUGUUCUGGGCGCUAGUCCGGGAAUGAGUGCUCUCACCAGUGAGGACAGAGCGAAGUCCUCGGCACACGCAAAUGUUAGGAAGCCAACGCGAGUUCUUCCUCCCUCGCGGCUGCAGUGGGCAGCCUUCGCCACCGCCUCUGUUUAUUUCGGCCUGAGAACUGCUUUUAUUCAUAAAUCUCUGGGAACUGAGAUAAAUUCGUGCAAGAGAAUAACAUACUUCGAAAUUUAUAUUGAAAUGAAAUCACCAAAAAACGCUGGAAGAAGACUCUUGUUAAGAUUUGCUGCAAUGAACAAGAGCUCCUGUCUGAUCUAACAGCCUCUCAAACCUUAGGGCAAAACCUGCACUGGGCAAAAACUCAGCUUGUGGCUGAGAAGGAUAUCUGCCACAGGGCUCCUGGCAAGGGUACAUUUCCCCGCAAGUGAAGAGAACCAAGGCUUGAUCAAAAAUUCUUGGUGUGUUUACAAAAAGAAAAAUAAGGGACAAGGAGAAGUAAAUACCACAAACAUCCUAGCAAUCAUGAGCAACUCCUUUUGAAUGGUGUCUACUGUGAUCUCUUAUAGCAUGAUGUGCACAUACAGACAGAAGAAUAAAUGCAUUGCACUUCACCCACUGUGUUCUCACACACAAAGGAAUGUUUUCAAUGUUGGAAAGAAAAACAGCCAAAACAACAACAAAAAGAAUCAACACCCCCCCCCCAAAAUCCAGGAGGCUCUAUGGGAACAGGAAUGUAUUUAAUUAUUUCAAAGAUUGUUACCUUUGGGCUUGUGGGCAAACCUAGGGAUUGAAUACUGUCUACAAACGAGCAGCUUUCCAAUAAAGUGCAGUAUUAUUGCAGU